GUGGAUUAGAUACCCUGGUAGUCCACGCCCUAAACGGUGCACACUAGGUCUUGGCGGAUUCGACCCCACCAGGGCCCAAGCUAACGCGUUAAGUGUGCCGCCUGAGGACUACGGCCGCAAGGCUAAAACUCAAAGGAAUUGACGGGGGCCCGCACAAGCGGUGGAGCAUGUGGCUUAAUUCGAUGCAACGCGAAGAACCUUACCAGGCCUUGACAUGCACUAGACCGGCGCUGAAAGGCGCCUUUCCUUCGGGACUAGUGCACAGGUGCUGCAUGGUCGUCGACAACU
rnacentral:rRNA from 1 species